rnacentral:rRNA from 1 species
AUUGAACGCUGGCGGCAGGCCUAACACAUGCAAGUCGAGCGGAUGAAGGGAGCUUGCUCCUGGAUUCAGCGGCGGACGGGUGGGUAAUGCCUAGGAAUCUGCCUGGUAGUGGGGGAUAACGUCCGGAAACGGGCGCUAAUACCGCAUACGUCCUGAGGGAGAAAGUGGGGGAUCUUCGGACCUCACGCUAUCAGAUGAGCCUAGGUCGGAUUAGCUAGUUGGUGGGGUAAAGGCCUACCAAGGCGACGAUCCGUAGCUGGUCUGAGAGGAUGAUCAGUCACACGGGAACUGGGACACGGUCCAGACUCCUACGGGAGGCAGCAGUGGGGAAUAUUGGACAAUGGGCGAAAGCCUGAUCCAGCCAUGCCGCGUGUGUGAAGAAGGUCUUCGGAUUGUAAAGCACUUUAAGUUGGGAGGAAGGGCAGUAAGUUAAUACCUUGCUGUUUUGACGUUACCAACAGAAUAAGCACCGGCUAACUUCGUG